rnacentral:rRNA from 1 species
UACAGAGGUCUCAAGCGUUGUUCGGAUUCAUUGGGCGUAAAGGGUGCGUAGGCGGCGCGGUAAGUCGGGUGUGAAAUCUUGGAGCUUAACUCCGAAACUGCAUUCGAUACUGCCGUGCUUGAGGACUGGAAAGGAGACUGGAAUUUACGGUGUAGCGGUGAAAUGCGUAGAUAUCGUCAAGAACACCGAUAGUGUAGACAGCUUACUAGACUUCAACUGACGCUGAGGCACGAAAGUGUGGGGAUCAAACAGG